AAGUCGUAACAAGGUUUCCGUAGGUGAACCUGCGGAAGGAUCAUUAACACAAUCUGAAGAUUAAAACCUCUUCAAACUAACGUGAACUUAAACCAAUCGCCCUAUAAUUUAAUUUAUUAUAGGCAAUGAGAAUAGUAAUAAUUCAAUUGCACAUUUCAUUAUUGCUAUUGCAAUUAUUACUGUUCGAUCCAUAUUUUUACACCAUUAUAAUCCACAUUGUAGUUGACUUGUAAUUCUAUAUAUAGUCUGUCUUAGCUUGUUUGAAUUCUAUUUAAAUCUGCUUUAAUUUGCUAUAUAUGUAAUGUUAAUAUAAUAAACAUAAAACAAAAACAACUCUUAACAAUGGAUAUCUUGGUUCUCGU
rnacentral:misc_RNA from 1 species